UUCUCCAAACGAGCGCUUGGCCCUUUAAGCUAGUUUAAAGGGAAACGAGGAGGAAGGUCCCUAAUUUUAGGGAAAUCGGACUUUUAGCACUUGCUAAAAAGUAUCAGCGGAAACCUUCAGGUUGUAACUGUCAACCUAAAAGAUUCUUUUAAAACCUUUGAGUAAUCAAAAGACUAAAGAUUAAUCUACACAGCCAA
rnacentral:ncRNA from 3 species